rnacentral:rRNA from 1 species
ACGUACACUCCUGCGGGAGGCAGCAGUGGGGAAUAUUGGACAAUGGGCGCAAGCCUGAUCCAGCCAUGCCGCGUGAGUGAUGAAGGCCCUAGGGUUGUAAAGCUCUUUCACCGGAGAAGAUAAUGACGGUAUCCGGAGAAGAAGCCCCGGCUAACUUCGUGCCAGCAGCCGCGGUAAUACGAAGGGGGCUAGCGUUGUUCGGAAUUACUGGGCGUAAAGCGCACGUAGGCGGAUCGAUCAGUCAGGGGUGAAAUCCCAGGGCUCAACCCUGGAACUGCCUUUGAUACUGUCGAUCUGGAGUAUGGAAGAGGUGAGUGGAAUUCCGAGUGUAGAGGUGAAAUUCGUAGAUAUUCGGAGGAACACCAGUGGCGAAGGCGGCUCACUGGUCCAUUACUGACGCUGAGGUGCGAAAGCGUGGGGAGCAAACAGGAUUAGAUACCCGGGUAGUCCCAUGA